UCCAGGGUAGCCUAGUGGACAUGGUGUACGCUCCAGGAACCUGGGUUACUUAAAUAAAUAAAAAAAAUAGUGGACAUGGCAUAUGCCCGGUAAGCGGAACAGUGUGGGUUUGAUUCCCAUCCCUGGAC